CACUGUUUCCGCCACAUUCGGUACAGUCAGAAGGAACAGUGAAGGGAAGUGUUUCCCCUUUCUAGAAGUCAUGCAGCAGUCACUGCUAAGUUUCUUGAUUUUUCUAUUUAAGAGAACGCCUUAGGCGGAUCUCCUGCCUACAAAGCAAGGACGUGUGAAGUAAGUCUCCAUGUUCACCCUGGCAGCCAGAGGACAUAGGCCAACAGUCUUUGGGUGAAUCUGGAGGCUCGAAUUCAGUUUAUCAAAAGACAAUGAGGGACUGGAAAGAUGACUCAGUGGUUAAGAGCUCGUACUGUUCUUGCAGAAGACUCAGGUUAGAUUCCUAGCCCCUACAUCACAAAAUGACAAUCAC